rnacentral:rRNA from 1 species
GAUGAACGCUAGCGGCAGGCCUAACACAUGCAAGUCGAGGGGGAAGUUACUUUCGGGUGACUGAGACCGGCGUACGGGUGCGUAACGCGUAUACAAUCUGCCUUUCACUGGGGGAUAGCCCGAAGAAAUUUGGAUUAAUACCCCAUAGUAUAUAGGGACGGCAUCGUUUUUAUAUUAAAGCUUAGGUGGUGAAAGAUGAGUAUGCGUUCUAUUAGCUAGUUGGAGAGGUAACGGCUCCCCAAGGCGAUGAUAGAUAGGGGUUCUGAGAGGGAUGUCCCCCACACUGGUACUGAGAUACGGACCAGACGCCUACGGGAGGCAGCAGUGAGGAAUAUUGGACAAUGGUCGGAAGACUGAUCCAGCCAUGCCGCGUGCAGGAUGAAGGUCUUAUGGAUUGUAAACUGCUUUUGGAAGGGAAGAAUAAGGGCUACGCGUAGUUUGAUGACGGUACCUGACGAAUAAGCAUCGGCUAACUCCGCG